UACGUAGGUGGCAAGCGUUGUCCGGAUUUACUGGGCGUAAAGAGCGCGCAGGCGGUCGUACAAGUCGCGUGUGAAAGCCCCCGGCUCAACUGGGGAGGGUCACGCGAUACUGUUCGACUCGAAGGCAGGAGAGGGAAGCAGAAUUCCCGGUGUAGUGGUGAAAUGCGUAGAUAUCGGGAGGAAUACCAGUGGCGAAGGCGGCUUCCUGGCCUGUUCUUGACGCUGAGGCGCGAAAGCUAGGGUAGCAAACGGG
rnacentral:rRNA from 2 species